rnacentral:rRNA from 1 species
GACGAACGCUGGCGGCGUGCCUAAUACAUGCAAGUAGAACGCUGAAGAGAGGAGCUUGCUCUUCUUGGAUGAGUUGCGAACGGGUGAGUAACGCGUAGGUAACCUGCCUGGUAGCGGGGGAUAACUAUUGGAAACGAUAGCUAAUACCGCAUAAAAUUGAUUAUUGCAUGAUAAUUAAUUGAAAGAUGCAACUGCAUCACUACCAGAUGGACCUGCGUUGUAUUAGCUAGUUGGUGAGGUAACGGCUCACCAAGGCGACGAUACAUGGCCGACCUGAGAGGGGGAUCGGCCACACUGGGACUGAGACACGGCCCAGACUCCUACGGGAGGCAGCAGUAGGGAAUCUUCGGCAAGGGGGGGAACCCUGACCGAGCAACGCCGCGUGAGUGAAGAAGGGUGUCGGAUCGUAAAGCUCUGUUGUAAGAGAAGAACGGGUGUGAGAGUGGAAAGUUCACACUGUGACGGUAUCUGACCAGAAAGGGACGGCUAACUACGUG